UACGGAGGGUGCGAGCGUUGUCCGGAAUCACUGGGCGUAAAGGGCGCGUAGGCGGUUGGGGAAGUCCGUGGUGAAAGCUCGUGGCUCAACUACGAGUCGGCCAUGGAUACUCCUUGACUUGAGCACUGUAGAGGCAGAUGGAAUUCCGGGUGUAGCGGUGGAAUGCGUAGAGAUCCGGAAGAACACCGGUGGCGAAGGCGGUCUGCUGGGCAGUGAGCUGACGCUGAGGCGCGACAGCGUGGGGAGCAAACAGG
rnacentral:rRNA from 1 species